rnacentral:rRNA from 1 species
UUUAAUUAGGGCCUUCCCUUGGACGGUUCCUUUCCAGAAGAAGCCACGGCCAAAUUCGGUGCCCAGCCACCCGGGGUAAUAUGAGGGGGGCAAGCGUUUUUUGGGAAUUAUUGGGCGGAAAGGCGCCGGCCGGCCGGUCUUUUAGUUCAGAUGGGAAAGUCCCCGCGUUAAACGUGGGGGGUCCAUUUGAAACUGGCAAGCUAGAGUCUGGUAGAGGGAGGUGGGAAUUCCAGGGGUAGCGGUGAAAUGCGUAGAGAUCUGGAGGACUACCGGUGGGGAAGGCGGCCUCCUGUACAAAGACGGACGCUCGGCGGGGAAAGCGUGGGGAGCAACCAGGAUUGGAUACCCUGGUAGUCCCCCCUGUAAACGAUGUUGACAAGGAGGAUGGGGCCUCGAGGCGUGGCUUCCGGAGCUAACGCGUUAAGCAGUCCGCCUGGGGAGUACGGCCGCAAGGUUAAAACUCAAAUGAAUUGACGGGGGCCCGCACAAGCGGUGGAGCAUGUGGUUUAAUUCGAAGCAACGCGAAGAACCUUACCUACUCUUGACAUCCAGAGAAUUCGCUAGGGAUAUGCUUAGUUCCUUUGGGAACUAUGAGACACAGGCUGGCACGGCGGUGUUCACCUCGUGUUUUGAAAUAUUGGGGUAAGUCUCGCACCGAGCGCACCCCCUAUCCUUUUAGUCCCCCUCGUAAAGGUGGGCACUCAAAGGAGACUGCCGGUGACAAACCGGAGGAAGGUGGGGAUGACGUCAAGUCAUCAUGCCCCUUACGACUAGGGCUACACACGUGCUACAAUGGCGUAUACAAAGAGAAGCCAACUCGCGAGAGCAAGCGGACCUCAUAAAGUACGUCGCAGUCCGGAUUGGAGUCUGCAACUCGCCUCCAUGAAGUCGGAAUCGCUAGUAAUCGUGGAUCAGCAUGCGGCGGUGAAUACGUUCCCGGGCCUUGUACACACCGCCCGUCACACCAUGGGAGUGGGUUGCAAAAGAAGUAGGUAGCUUAACCUUCGGGACCGCCCUCCUCAUCGUUGAUUCAACGGGCG